UACGUAGGGGGCAAGCGUUGUCCGGAAUCAUUGGGCGUAAAGCGCGUGUAGGCGGCUCGAUAAGUCUGCUGUGAAAGUCCAAGGCUCAACCUUGGGAUGCCGGUGGAUACUGUCGAGCUCGAGUCCGGAAGAGGAGUGUGGAAUUCCUGGUGUAGCGGUGAAAUGCGCAGAUAUCAGGAGGAACACCAAUGGCGAAGGCAGCACUCUGGGACGUGACUGACGCUGAGACGCGAAAAGCGUGGGGAGCAAACAGG
rnacentral:rRNA from 1 species